rnacentral:rRNA from 1 species
CCUACGGGAGGCAGCAGUGAGGAAUCUUGGUCAAUGGGCGGGAGCCUGAACCAGCCAAGUCGCGUGAGGGAAGACGGUCCUACGGAUUGUAAACCUCUUUUGCCGGGGAGCAACGGGGUCCUUGCGAGGGCACGAUGAGAGUACCCGGAGAAAAAGCAUCGGCUAACUCGGUGCCAGCAGCCGCGGUAAUACGGAGGAUGCGAGCGUUAUCGGGAUUUAUUGGGUUUAAAGGGUGCGCAGGCGGUCUGUUAAGUCAGCGGUAAAAGCCCGGGGCUAAACCCCGGCCCGCCGUUGAAACUGGCAGUCUCGAGUGGGAGAGAAGUAUGCGGAAUGCGCGGUGUAGCGGUGAAAUGCAUAGAUAUCGCGCAGAACUCCGAUUGCGAAGGCAGCAUGCCGGCUCCACACUGACGCUGAGGCACGAAAGCGUGGGUAUCGAACAGGAUUAGAUACCCUUGUAGUC